GCCCGCGUGACCUAGUGGUAUGGUGUUACACUACGAAUUUCAGUGGUUCUGUGGCAUGUAGAAGUCGCGGUUUCGAAUACCGCCGUGGGUU